rnacentral:rRNA from 1 species
GAAGGCGUUAUCCGGAAUUAUUGGGCGUAAAGGGCUCGUAGGCGGGUUCGUCGCGUCCGGUGUGAAAGUCCAUCGCGUUAACGGUGGAUCCGCGCCGGGUACGGGCGGGCUUGAGUGCGGUAGGGGAGACUGGAAUUCCCGGUGUAACGGUGGAAUGUGUAGAUAUCGGGAAGAACACCAAUGGCGAAGGCAGGUCUCUGGGCCGUCACUGACGCUGAGGAGCGAAAGCGUGGGGAGCGA